GAUGAACGCUGGCGGCGUGCCUAAUACAUGCAAGUCGAGCGAACAGACGAGGAGCUUGCUCCUCUGACGUUAGCGGCGGACGGGUGAGUAACACGUGGAUAACCUACCUAUAAGACUGGGAUAACUUCGGGAAACCGGAGCUAAUACCGGAUAAUAUAUUGAACCGCAUGGUUCAAUAGUGAAAGACGGUUUUGCUGUCACUUAUAGAUGGAUCCGCGCCGCAUUAGCUAGUUGGUAAGGUAACGGCUUACCAAGGCAACGAUGCGUAGCCGACCUGAGAGGGUGAUCGGCCACACUGGAACUGGGACACCGUCCAGACUCCUACGGGAGGCAGCAGUAGGGAAUCCUCCGCAAUAGUCGAAAGCCUGACGGAGCAACGCCGCGUGAGUUAUGAAGGUCUUCGGAUCGUAAAACUCUGUUAUUAGGGAAGAACAAAUUUGUAAGUAACUAUGCACGUCUUGACGGUACCUAAUCAGAAAGCCACGGCUAACUACGUG
rnacentral:rRNA from 1 species